GAUGAACGCUGGCGGCGUGCUUAACACAUGCAAGUCGAACGGAGAGAAGGUGCUUGCACUUUCUCUUAGUGGCGGACGGGUGAGUAACGCGUGGGUAACCUGCCCUAUGCAGGGGGAUAACAACGAGAAAUCGUUGCUAAUACCGCAUAAUAAAGAAGAGCUGCAUGGCUUUUCUUUCAAAGAUUUAUCGGCAUAGGAUGGACCCGCGUUGGAUUAGCUAGUUGGUGAGAUAACAGCCCACCAAGGCGACGAUCCAUAGCCGGCCUGAGAGGGUGAACGGCCACACUGGGACUGAGACACGGCCCAGACUCCUACGGGAGGCAG
rnacentral:rRNA from 1 species